GAUGAACGCUGGCGGCGUGCCUAAUACAUGCAAGUCGAGCGAACAGACGAGGAGCUUGCUCCUCUGACGUUAGCGGCGGACGGGUGAGUAACACGUGGAUAACCUACCUAUAAUACUGGGAUAACUUCGGGAAACCGGAGCUAAUACCGGAUAAUAUAUUGAACCGCAUGGUUCAAUAGUGAAAGACGGUUUUGCUGUCACUUAUAGAUGGAUCCGCGCCGCAUUAGCUAGUUGGUAAGGUAACGGCUUACCAAGGCAACGAUGCGUAGCCGACCUGAGAGGGUGAUCGGCCACACUGGAACUGAGACACGGUCCAGACUCCUACGGGAGGAAGCAGUAGGGAAUCUUCCGCAAUGGGCGAAAGCCUGACGGAGCAACGCCGCGUGAGUGAUGAAGGUCUUCGGAUCGUAAAACUCUGUUAUUAGGGAAGAAAAAAUGUGUAAGUAAAUAUGCACGUCUUGACGGUACCUAAUCAGAAAGCAACGGCUAACUACGUG
rnacentral:rRNA from 1 species